CGUCCCGCAGCUCAGUCGGCAGAGCGUCCGCCGGAGAAGGCGGAAGAUCCCAGGUUCGAGUCCUGGCGGGACGG
rnacentral:tRNA from 1 species